UACGGAGGGUGCAAGCGUUGUCCGGAAUCACUGGGCGUAAAGGGCGCGUAGGCGGCUCAUGAAGGCUGUGGUGAAAGUCCGGGGCUCAACCUCGGAUCGGCCGUGGCGACUCGUGGGCUGGAGCACUGUAGAGGCAGGUGGAAUUCCGGGUGUAGCGGUGGAAUGCGUAGAGAUCCGGAAGAACACCAGUGGCGAAGGCGGCCUGCUGGGCAGUGGCUGACGCUGACGGCGCGACAGCGUGGGGAGCAACAGGA
rnacentral:rRNA from 1 species